GGCGGUGGCUCGUCGCGCCAGGUUCCCGGGGCUGUGUCCGCCAAGGCACCGUGCCGGAGCCCAGUGUCUGUCCACGGCCCCAGCUGCUCUGACGCGGAGAGUCGCUAAAGGAGCGGCGAGUCUGUGACACGUUUCCAGCCUCCCCCCCCCCAGUUCCAACGGUCAGUGCUUGACCGAGCAGUGUGCGAAGCCUCACAGCAGGUGAACAGUUCGCCUUGUGGGCGGCCCUUGCCUGGCCAGCCACGUACAUGGAUUUUUUUCUACACACUUUUAUUUUGGGGGCUCAUAUGAUGUCAGGGUGGCUGAUUUCCUGGGUUGAUGGCAAAACUCUGGGUUCCUUUAAUCCACCAAAGAAUCCUGUGGCACCUUAUAGACUAACAGAUGUUUUGCAGCAUGAGCUUUCGUGGGUGAAUACCCACUUCUUCGGAUGCAAGCAGUGGAAAUUUCCAGGGGCAGGAGAUAAUGCUGCCCGCUUCUUUACAAUGUUACUUUAAAGUGACAACAGAUGUUUGCAUGGCACAGUUGUAGCCAGCAUCACGAGAUAUUUACAUGCCGGAUGCUCUAAAGAUUCAUAUGUCCCUUCAUGCUUCAACCACCCUUCCAGAGGACAUGCAUCCAUGCUGAUGAUGGGUUCUGCUUGAUAACGAUCCGAAGCAGUGCGGAGCGACGCAUGUUCAUUUUCAUUGAGUCAGAUGCCACCAACAGAAGCUGAGCUAAUCAACCCUCAAGAAGGAGAAAUGUUAUAAACAUAUCUGCUGAAGAUAGCUCUGUGACAUCAGUGGGUGAUCAAUGCAAGACUAUCCAUGUUUGCUGAGAGGUGGUUUUGUUGACAACACUGAGAAAUGUUUUGAAAAGGAGGAGGAUGCUGAUAUUCUUAUGAAGAUCUGAAGAAGCCAGGAAUAUUUGCUACAUAUUAUGACAUUAUAGAAUCAGAGAAUGAUAGAAAUGUAAGGCUGGAACAGACCUGAAGAAGUCACCGACUCCAGCCCCCUGCACUAAGGCAGGACCAAGUAAAGCUAGACCAUCCCUGACAUAUAUUUGUCCAACCUGUUCUUAGAAACCU